CCCUAAUCUCCAAUUACAAUUUAAAAGAACAGUCAAAUAAUAUUUUUAAAAUAUAAUAAAUACUUAAAAAUAAAUAUUAGAGUAAUAUUGACACACCCCGUCCCGAAGGAGGGCGUGCUGGCCGUCACGUGAGAGUGACGUAACCAUUUACACAGUUCGGAAGCUUUAAAAAAAUUUCCAAUUACUAAGAUAACACACCCGAGGGUGAGUCCUACUUUUGUGAAUUCUGUCAGAACACCGUUGGAUUCCUCGUGGCCACCAAAGCUCUGCUAACUUGAACCUGGAGGGGCGCAAAACAAAAUUGAGUGGGUCAGUAAAACAAAGUUUUUCGAAAACUUUUCAUUUAAAACAUUUCUAACCCCUCACCGUAAAACCUGUAUACUUUCUCAGAAAAUAGCAUAUAUAUAAACAGAUAUAUAAGCAAAACUCUCAAAUCUCAAACCUUUAACACUUUUCAGAAAUAUAUAUAUAUAUAUAUAUAUAUAUAUAUAUAUAUAUAUAUAUAUAUAUAUAACCAUAUGAAAUCUCAAAGCUUGAAUCCCAAAUCUUUAACAUUUUUCAAGAAAAACAUGCCAUGCCAUAAAUCAAAAUAUAAAUCAGGUGAAAUAAGGAAUCAAUCGGAGACCCUGCAGUUGGUCCUAUACGAUUAAUUCAAUAGCUCAAUAUCUCACUAAGCCGGAGUCACCACAGUGACCUAUACGGCCCUACUCUGCACAUCACUCGGAACUACGUAAGGUAGUCUAUACGAUGAAAGGUGUAAAAUACGCUCUAGUGCUUCUCUCAUCAUAUCAUCAGCGCGCAUAUCUAAGGUCACCCACCAGUCGGAACCCCUCUAAUGGUCUGUACGACUGGCAUGUCGGAACCCUUACAUGGUCUGUACGACAUCCACCUACUUGGAUCCAAGGCGAGCGUGCGGUGUGGUGAAUAAUAUAAGCACUAACACCUAGGGUGCAGAUUAUGAGCUCAAACAUCUCAACAACAACAAUUCAAUGAAUAAACGAACUCACCUGACUUACCUGUGCCUCCACAGCACCAUGCAACAUGUAUGCAUCAUAUAUCAAUCAUAUAACUCAUAUGAAAUUCACAUUUUCCAAAUAAUUCUAUGCAUGGCAUUUUCAAAACAUAAUUUCGCAUAAAAGCAUUUUUCUGGGAAAAACAAUAGUAUAUAGGUAAUACGAAAACAAAACUGCCCACUCACCUGGAGUUCGCCCACAACUCCCUAGCACCGUACAUCAAGGCGUCAUGACGAUUAGCGCCUAGAACAACAA
rnacentral:lncRNA from 1 species